GAUGAACGCUGGCGGCGUGCUUAACACAUGCAAGUCGUACGAAGCAUUUGCGACAGAUUUUUUCGGAAUGAAGUUGCUUAUGACUGAGUGGCGGACGGGUGAGUAACGCGUGGGUAACCUGCCUUGUACUGGGGGAUAGCAGCUGGAAACGGCUGGUAAUACCGCAUAAGCGCACAAUGUUGCAUGACAUGGUGUGAAAAACUCCGGUGGUAUAAGAUGGACCCGCGUCUGAUUAGCUAGUUGGUGAGAUAACAGCCCACCAAGGCGACGAUCAGUAGCCGACCUGAGAGGGUGACCGGCCACAUUGGGACUGAGACACGGCCCAGACUCCUACGGGAGGCAGCAGUGGGGAAUAUUGCACAAUGGAGGAAACUCUGAUGCAGCGACGCCGCGUGAGUGAAGAAGUAAUUCGUUAUGUAAAGCUCUAUCAGCAGGGAAGAUAGUGACGGUACCUGACUAAGAAGCGCCGGCUAAAUACGUG
rnacentral:rRNA from 1 species